UACGGGUGCGGUAUGUCUAACUAAGAACUCUCGAAUUGCCUUUUACCAUUCGAAACCGUGGCCAUCCGCAAAACCCGAUUUGAAAUAUUUGGAACCUCUUGUUUUUUUUUGGCGU
rnacentral:snRNA from 1 species